rnacentral:lncRNA from 1 species
CUCCUUCUCUCGUCUUUUUUUUUUCUUUUUUGUUUAAUUACUGUUGUGCUACUGCUACUAGCUUUCGAACCCAUUCGAUGAAACCCAAUCGUCCCGUCGGUUUGAUCGAUUUUGAGUCCUUGAUCUUACUCUGAAGAAGAAGAAGAAGAAUCACCCAGACACUGAGACAGUCCAAGUUUGCUUUGCUGCCAUUUGUGAAUGCAUGUCAAUGUCAUCUUCUUCAAAACCAAGCAUCAAUUCUAUCUGAAUUGGAUACUUCUGCUGUAAAUGCCCUUCCAUUAUACCUUGAUGAAAUCUUUCAUCCUGUUGUUGCUGUUUUGCUGUCUGUAACAUUUAUUCUAAUUUUCAGAGAGACUGCCAAGGAGGGUAUGACACCUAUUGAAUCAAGAUUGUGCUUGGAUGUUGAUUCAAAGUUAGACUAGGAAGCAAUUGGGAAAAUUCUUGCACGUGUUAGAAUGUGUUGCUGAUGUCAGUUUGCUCUGAACUGGGAUUUGUUUAGUAUGGGAAAAUAUUACUUCUUGUAAUUACAAUUGCUGCUGUUGUGCUAGCAUAGUUGCAAAUUUCUCAAGUUCUAAGGUUGCUCCAAUCUGAAUUAUAUAUGUAGACAAUAUCAUGCUAUUGUCUUAAAUGCCUUUCUCAUCAAAUAAUUUAAUUCACUUAAUAGGAGUGUUAAAAUGCAAUUAGAAACUCAUUUAUUCAGACGACCAUACAUGUUAUUUAGUGGGUUAAGGUCAACAUGUCUUUUAGCUUAAUACUUUUUUAUCUGGUUUUGAUAUCAUAUUAUGUUGUACUGGAAAUCAAGUUGUUAGUUCUUAAUUCUUUCAAUUGCUUCCAGCAAUGCACUUCUGAACUGUAAGGUAUGUGAUUACGGAAACUGCUUUUUUAUACUCUCCCUUCCCAGGAAUAUAGAGAAGCAAAUGUGAGAAUAAGUUAAUUAGUUUUUCUGUUUCACCUGAGCUUUGUACCAAUUGUUGAACCAAUCAAACUAAUAGUAAUAUGGUGUGCAACAGAACUGGUAAAUAGUAGGAAGAGAGAAGACCAUUAUAGUAGUGGUGAUUAAUUGAAAUAAAAAUUUCUAAGCUGUGCCCAAUUUUUAUGUGUGAUACGUUGGUGAUCUCUUAUUUAGGAGGAUUGUUGGGUUGGGUGUCUCUAACUUAGGCUCUAUCUGCAUUUCUAAUUGAAGAUGUUGAGGGGCUCUAGUCUAGCUUACUGAUUCUCUGAUGUUGAGUGGAUGCCUAAAAUUAAUCACCUCGAUGAUCAUUGUACAAUUGCUUUCCUGGUAGGACCGGUCAAAGUGAGACUUUGGCUUCAUCCUAUCAGACUGAAGGACGCUUACAGUUCUUCUGUUUGUGUGAUUUAUGAAGGGGGAGAAGUUAAAAAUUAACUGUGUUUUCCUUUAUCUGCCCAUAGCUAAAAGCCUGGCAUAUUUGUAAUCUUACAGCUUGUAGGAAAGGGUGCUUUAUCUGAAGGAAACAAGAACACUUUAGAAACUGCAAAGCUGUUGAGAGAGAAUUCUCUCGCACAUGAUGCAUUUACUCCGGUGGACAGAUAUGAUAAAUUCUGCCUUUUCUACAAGUCUGUCUGGAUGAUGCGGAAUAUCAUCCAUUUCUUCAAUUUAGCAAAUCAGGUCUAGCAAAUUUGAGGAUCAUGCUGAAGGCAAACAAGCUCUUGUUGCAAAAUUUAGAAGCUACAUGAAGACUUGACAAAUGGUUUCCAUGCCUUGAGGAUGAAUCGAUGAUUGGACUUGAUACUUCUUUUAGAUGGUUCGUGUUGCUGUUAUAAAUUGCAUGGUGAUGACAAUUGGAGUUACUGUGGUUUCUGUUGUGCAUGAGGAAGUGUGAGGUUUUUGUGACGCCGUUUUUACUUUGCUUAUGUGGCGGUUGCUCAAGUUUGGAUGUGUAGUUACAGUCUUUCUAUCAUUCCCUUCAUGUUUUUACUAGAGACUAGAUUCUAUUCCUUAUGUAUUUAAGCAAUAAGGUAUUCAAGAUUUUUCAUUUUUGAUGGUUCUUAG